rnacentral:rRNA from 1 species
CCUACGAGCGGCAGCAGUGAGGAAUAUUGGUCAAUGGACGAGAGUCUGAACCAGCCAAGUCGCGUGAAGGAUGACUGCCCUAUGGGUUGUAAACUUCUUUUAUAAGGGAAUAAAACGAGGCACGUGUGCCUCUUUGCAUGUACUUUAUGAAUAAGGAUCGGCUAACUCCGUGCCAGCAGCCGCGGUAAUACGGAGGAUCCGAGCGUUAUCCGGAUUUAUUGGGUUUAAAGGGAGCGUAGAUGGGUUGUUAAGUCAGUUGUGAAAGUUCGCGGCUCAACCGUAAAAUUGCAAUUGAUACUGGCAGUCUUGAGUACAGGAGAGGUAGGCGGAAUUCGUGGUGUAGCGGUGAAAUGCUUAGAUAUCACGAAGAACCCCGAUUGCGAAGGCAGCUUACUAAACUGUGACUGACAUUGAUGCUCGAAAGUGUGGGUAUCAAACAGGAUUAGAUACCCUAGUAGUC